rnacentral:rRNA from 1 species
UGGGGAAUUUUGGACAAUGGGCGAAAGCCUGAUCCAGCAAUGCCGCGUGUGUGAAGAAGGCCUUCGGGUUGUAAAGCACUUUUGUCCGGAAAGAAAUCCUUGGCUCUAAUACAGUCGGGGGAUGACGGUACCGGAAGAAUAAGCACCGGCUAACUACGUGCCAGCAGCCGCGGUAAUACGUAGGGUGCAAGCGUUAAUCGGAAUUACUGGGCGUAAAGCGUGCGCAGGCGGUUUGCUAAGACCGAUGUGAAAUCCCCGGGCUCAACCUGGGAACUGCAUUGGUGACUGGCAGGCUAGAGUAUGGCAGAGGGGGGUAGAAUUCCACGUGUAGCAGUGAAAUGCGUAGAGAUGUGAGGAAUACCGAUGGCGAAGGCAGCCCCCUGGGCCAAUACUGACGCUCAUGCACGAAAGCGUGGGGAGCAAACAGGAUUAGAUACCCUGGUAGUCCACGCCCU